UACGUAGGGGGCAAGCGUUGUCCGGAUUUAUUGGGCGUAAAGAGCGUGUAGGCGGCCAAACAGGUCAGCUGUGAAAACUCGAGGCUCAACCUCGAGACGUCGGUUGAAACCGUUUGGCUAGAGUCCGGAAGAGGAGAGUGGAAUUCCCGGUGUAGCGGUGAAAUGCGCAGAUAUCGGGAAGAACACCCCGUGGCGAAGGCGGCUCUCUGGGACGGUACUGACGCUGAGGCACGAAAGCGUGGGGAGCAAACAGG
rnacentral:rRNA from 1 species